rnacentral:rRNA from 1 species
UACGGAGGGGGCAAGCGUUGUUCGGAAUUACUGGGCGUAAAGGGCGCGCAGGCGGCUGCUCAAGUCAGGCGUGAAAGGCCUGGGCUCAACCCGGGAAUUGCGCUUGAGACUGGGCAUGGCUGAGGUGCGGGAGAGGAUGGUGGAAUUCCCAGUGUAGAGGUGAAAUUCGUAGAUAUUGGGAAGAACACCGGUGGCGAAGGCGGCCAUCUGGACCGCAACUGACGCUGAGGCGCGAAAGCGUGGGGAGCA